rnacentral:rRNA from 1 species
UACGGAGGGAGCUAGCGUUGUUCGGAAUUACUGGGCGUAAAGCGCGCGUAGGCGGCUUUGUAAGUCAGAGGUGAAAUCCCGGAGCUCAACUCCAGAAUUGCCUUUAAGACUGCAUCGCUUGAAUCCAGGAGAGGUGAGUGGAAUUCCGAGUGUAGAGGUGAAAUUCGUAGAUAUUCGGAAGAACACCAGUGGCGAAGGCGGCUCACUGGACUGGUAUUGACGCUGAGGUGCGAAAAGCGUGGGGAGCAAACAGG